rnacentral:rRNA from 1 species
UACGUAGGGUGCAAGCGUUAAUCGGAAUUACUGGGCGUAAAGCGUGCGCAGGCGGUUGUGCAAGACAGAUGUGAAAUCCCCGGGCUUAACCUGGGAACUGCAUUUGUGACUGCACAGCUGGAGUGCGGCAGAGGGGGAUGGAAUUCCGCGUGUAGCAGUGAAAUGCGUAGAUAUCGGGAGGAAUACCGAUGGCGAAGGCAGGUCUCUGGGCUGACACUGACGCUCAUGCACGAAAGCGUGGGGAGCAAACAGG